UACGUGGGGGGCAAGCGUUGUUCGGAAUUACUGGGCGUAAAGGGCUUGUAGGUGGCCAACUAAGUCAGACGUGAAAUCCCUCGGCUUAACCGGGGAACUGCGUCUGAUACUGGAUGGCUUGAGUGUGGGAGAGGGAUGCGGAAUUCCAGGUGUAGCGGUGAAAUGCGUAGAUAUCGAGAGGAACACCUGCGGCGAAGGCGGGUAGCUGGGCCGACACUGACGCUGAUGCGCGAAAGCUAGGGGAGCGAACGGG
rnacentral:rRNA from 1 species